rnacentral:rRNA from 1 species
GAAACUGCGAAUGGCUCAUUAAAUCAGUUAUCAGUUUAUUUGAUAGUACCUUACCACUUGGAUAACCGUGGUAAUUCUAGAGCUAAUACAUGCUAAAAACCUCGACUUCGGAAGGGGUGUGUUUAUUAGAUAAAAAACCAAUGCCCUUCGGGGCUCUUUGGUGAUUCAUGAUAACCUAACGGAUCGCAUGGCCUUGCGCUGGCGACGGUUCAUUCAAAUUUCUGCCCUAUCAACUUUCAAUGGUAAGGUAUUGGCUUACCAUGGUUUCAACGGGUAACGGGGAAUUAGGGUUCGAUUCCGGAGAGGGAGCCUGAGAAACGGCUACCACAUCCAAGGAAGGCAGCAGGCGCGCAAAUUACCCAAUCCCGACACGGGGAGGUAGUGACAAUAAAUACUGAUACAGGGCUCUUUUGGGUCUUGUAAUUGGAAUGAGUACAAUUUAAACCCCUUAACGAGGAACAAUUGGAGGGCAAGUCUGGUGCCAGCAGCCGCGGUAAUUCCAGCUCCAAUAGCGUAUAUUAAAGUUGUUGCAGUUAAAAAGCUCGUAGUUGAAACUUGGGUCUGGCUAGCGGGUCCGCCUCACCGCGUGCACUUGUCCGGCUGGACCUUUCCUUCUGGAGAACCUCAUGCCCUUCACUGGGUGUGUUGGGGAACCAAGACUUUUACUUUGAAAAAAUUAGAGUGUUCAAAGCAGCCUUUGCUCGAAUACUUAGCAUGGAAUAAUAAAUAGGACGUGCGGUCCUAUUUUGUUGGUUUCUACGAUCGCCGUAAUGAUAAUAGGGAUAGUCGGGGGCAUCAGUAUUCAAUUGUCAGAGGUGAAAUUCUUGGAUUUAUUGAAGACUAACUACUGCGAAAGCAUUUGCCAAGGAUGUUUUCAUUAAUCAGUGAACGAAGUCGGGGGAUCGAAGACGAUCAGAUACCGUCGUAGUCUCAACCGUAAACUAUGCCGACUAGGGAUCGGGCGAUGUUUCUAUCUUGACUCGCUCGGCACCUUACGA